rnacentral:rRNA from 1 species
UACGUAGGGGGCUAGCGUUGUCCGGAAUCACUGGGCUUAAAGCGUGUGUAGGCGGGUCGUUAAGUGCCUUGUGAAAUCCCAUGGCUCAACCAUGGAACUGCUUGGCAUACUGGCGAUCUUGAGCUACCUAAGGGCAACUGGAACAGACGGUGGAGCGGUGAAAUGCGUAGAUAUCGUCUGGAACGCCAAUGGUGAAGACAGGUUGCUGGGGGUAUGCUGACGCUGAGACACGAAAGCCAGGGGAGCAAACGGG